AUAAAUCCACACAGUGCUCACAGCAAUCAAACCGCUGGUACAAAUAACACUCAGCAGGGAAAUAUCUGAAACAAAGAUCUGUCAGAGUGGGCAAUCUCUCAUUCUUUGAGAGUACAGAAUAAACAGACAAAUUUUCAGUAUGUACAGUUGAUAAAAUGGCCAGUGGAUUGAAUACUAACACUUCAAUUUCCUAUGAAAUCGAGUGGUACUGGCUCGAGUUAAUAUAUUGACCUACUGUUUUGUGUUCAGCAACCUACAUCACAAGGACAGAAACUACGAAAAAGUAUUCUGGCAACGAAAAAAUGGAGGCAAAAUGUUCAGUGCUCCCAUGGAAAUGUCCUUGCUGGUGGGUACGUGGCAGUCUGCGAGGUCAUUCAUACUGAAACGUGUCUUGAUUACGCUUCCACAUUUUGUGUUCAUGCAUCCCAGACAGCUAAAUUGUAAUUUUUCCCCAAGAAGAGAAUAGCCAAAAAUCUGGGGAGCUGAAUGCAUUCCAGUUUUCGGCCUUGAGUGAUCUAAAUCUCGAUAUUAUCUGUUAGAAUGCUCCCAGCCAUGAAAAUGAUAAUGGAAAGCUAGACAUUUGUGUUUAUUUUAUUUGUUUAUGACAUUUUGUUCUCUCCUCUGUUAUUCUAAUGAAAUGUAUAUGAAGAAAAUAUUUAUGAAUCUAUAUUCCACCUUAGCCAUAAACACUCCUUUCAGUUAAUAGAGAGAAUUAAGUGCAUAUGAAAUUGUUGCACCCUUUCAUUCCAGACGAAUUUCUGUAUCUUGUCAUAGGGAAAGGACAACCGACAAUGAAUUGAUACACAAAUAGGAUGUUUUCUCAUUUGGUGUCAUGCUCCUUGAGUUGAUUACUGGUCGUAGGCCAAUAGAUACAACUCCAUCAUUUACUGAAGAUAAUCUAGUAGAUUGGCUUGACCCACCCUUACUCGAGCACUUGAAGAUGGCAAUGUUGAUGAACUUGUAGAUCGCCAGUUGCAGAACUAUAAUUCAAAUGAGAUGAUGCAACUGGUUGCAUGUGCAGCCUCUUGUGUUCGAUAUUCUGCAAGCAGACGCCCUCCUAUGGCACGGAUGGUUCGAGCCUUGGAAGGUGAUGUUUCUCUUGAUGAUCUAAAUGAGGGAAUGAAACCAGGGCAUAGCGUAUAGAUCAUAUGGAAGCACACACUAUGAUUCUAGCCAAUAUCUUCUUAAAGCUUUUCAUUGUUUUGGCUUAUCUUCUUAAAGCUUUUCAUUAUUUUGGCUUAUUCUAUAAAAUUUUAAGCAGAGCAUUGCAAUUGGAUGUCCAAAAUUUCCUAGACCUCAUUGGCUUGAUUACAGAACAUUGUGAAAAAAGGCCGAAGGUUUAGUACAUUGUCGCUGUAUUUCCCU